GAUGAACGCUGGCGGCGUGCCUAACACAUGCAAGUCGAGCGAAGCGAUUUCGAUGAAAUUUUCGGAUGGAAUUGAAAUUGACUUAGCGGCGGACGGGUGAGUAACACGUGGGUAAUCUGCCUUAUACAGGGGGAUAACAGUUAGAAAUGACUGCUAAUACCGCAUAAGCGCACGGGAACGCAUGUUUCUGUGUGAAAAACUCCGGUAGUAUAAGAUGAGCCCGCGUCUGAUUAGCUAGUUGGUGGGGUAACGGCCUACCAAGGCGACGAUCAGUAGCCGGCCUGAGAGGGUGAACGGCCACAUUGGGACUGAGACACGGCCCAA
rnacentral:rRNA from 1 species